GGUUCAUGGAUUCACUUACUCACCCUCGUGUGUUGUUGUGUGUGUGUGUGUGUGUGUGUGUGUGUGUGUGUGUGUGUGUUGGGUGUGAGUGAAUGAUUGUGUGGGCGUCACCCAUUAUGGUCUGAUUGCGAUCUGUUGCCAGCCGUGUCUUGUUAGUGGUUGUUAUAUAUUGUGCAUGUCUUUAUGUGUCUUUGUCAGUUCGUUGCAGGCUGUUCCCGGUGUCGUGUUCUCUGUGUGUUUCUUCCUGGUUUUUGGAUUCUGGACUUUCGUCGUGUGCCCUGUUUUCUGGGUUGGAUUAUCCUUGUUCUCUGAUACCCGCUGUAGCCCUGCGCCACCCAGUGCCUCGCCACUCUGCACGCCACAGCCUCUGCCUCGACUGACCCUUGGAGUGAAGUUAUUGUACAGCAUUUUCCUGUCAAUAAAUAUUGUUAUUCUUGCACUUGGAUCCUCUGUCUGUGUUCAUUCCCUGACAGACUGUCAUCGCCCUUAAUGGACAGAAGCUACCCACCAUCACACACGCCACGGAGCCCUUAACCGUCAUCACUUCCGUUCGUUGCAGGCUGUUCCCGGUGUCGUGUUCUCUGUGUGUUUCUUCCUGGUUUUUGGAUUCUGGACUUUCGUCGUGUGCCCUGUUUUCUGGGUUGGAUUAUCCUUGUUCUCUGAUACCCGCUGUAGCCCUGCGCCACCCAGUGCCUCGCCACUCUGCACGCCACAGCCUCUGCCUCGACUGACCCUUGGAGUGAAGUUAUUGUACAGCAUUUUCCUGUCAAUAAAUAUUGUUAUUCUUGCA